CAUGAUGCAAAAGCUUUGGGAUGGCAAUUAGUCUCAAGAAGACUGCGAUCAUGUACCCAGGGGUGGAAAAACCAAUACCUGACAUAACUCUGGAAGAUAAAUCUCUUGGUGGUGGUGGGCAUUUUUG